GCCUGGCUUGGUGGCACAUGCCUGUAGUCCCAGCUAUUAGGGAGGCUGAGACAGGAGGAUGGCUUGAGUCCAGGAGUUCUGGACUGCAGUGCACUGUGCCAAUCUGGUGUCCACACUAAGUGGACAAUACGGUGACCUCCUGGCAGCACGGGAACACCAGAUUGCCUAAGGAGCGGUGAACUGGCUUAGGUCGGAAACUGAGCACGUCAAAACUCCCGCACUGAUCAAGAGUUAGUGUUUAUGAAUAAAAGCAAAUUGAAUAGAAAGGAAUGCCAGGAAUGCUAGCUACUU
rnacentral:SRP_RNA from 1 species